rfam:Lactobacillus sanfranciscensis TMW 1.1304, complete genome.
UUCUAAGGUUUCUUGUUUUAUUUUAUGAUGAGAUAACUUCCUUAUUAGAUUCAAACAUUCAACAUUAAUAAUUAUAUGGAGGUAUUAUAUUAUGAAGCAAGGUACUGUUAAAUGGUUCAACGCUGAUAAAGGUUACGGUUUCAUCACCACAGAUGAUGGUGACGUAUUCGUUCACUUCUCAGCAAUUAACAAAGACGGAUUCAAGACUCUUGAUGAAGGCGAAAAAGUUACUUUAGACGUCGAAGAUGGCGAUCGUGGCCCACAAGCUGCUAACGUUACUCCCGUUGAAGGUUAAUAACUUUUAAAAAAACAUCUCAAUUUAUUGAGGUGUUUUUUU